UACGGAGGGGGCGAGCGUUAUUCGGAAUUAUUGGGCGUAAAGAGAACGUAGGCGGUUUGUUAAGUUUGGGCUUAAAGACUGGGGCUCAACCCCAGGAGUGGCUCGAAAACUGACAGACUAGAGGAUGGCAGAGGAAAGUGGAAUUCCCAGUGUAGCGGUGAAAUGCGUAGAUAUUGGGAAGAACACCGGUGGCGAAGGCGGCGACCUGGUCCGUUACUGACGCUGAGGCGCGACAGCGUGGGGGAGCAAACAGGAU
rnacentral:rRNA from 1 species